GUAGUCAUAUGCUUGUCUCAAAGAUUAACACAUGAAAGUCUAAGUAUAAGCAAUUAUACAGCGAAACAGCGAACGGCUCAUUAUAUAAGUUAUCGUUUACUUGAUAGUGCCCUACUACUUGGAUAACCGUGGUAAUUCUAGAGCUAAUACAUGCUAAAGGCCCCGACUCACGGAGGGGUGUGUUUAUUAGAUUCAAAGCCAACGCCCUUCGGGGCUCACUGGUGAUUCAUAGUAACCUGUCGAAUCGCACGGCCCCGCGCCGGCGAUGGUUCAAUCAAGUUUCUUCCCUAUCAACUUUCGAUGUUUGGGUAUUGGCCAAACAUGGUGGCAACGGGUAACGGAGGGUUAGAGCUCGACCCCGGAGAGGGCGCAUGAGAAACGGCGCCCACAACUACGGUAGGCAUCAGUGGCGAAACUUACCCAAUCCCGUCCCGGGGAGGUAGUGACAAUAAAUACCGAUGCAGGGCCCUUUAGGGUCUUGCAAUUGGAAUGAGUACAGCUUAAACCCCUUAACGAGGAACAAUUGGAGGGCAAGUCUGGUGCCAGCAGCCGCGGUAAUUCCAGCUCCAAUAGCGUAUAUUAAAGUUGUUGUGGUUAAAAAGCUCGUAGUUGAACCUCGGGCCUGGCCGCCUGGUCCCCCUCACCGGGUGCACUGGCGCGGCCGGGCCCUUCCCCUCGCGGAGCCGCAUGCCCUUCACUGGGCGUGCCGGGGAAGCGGGACUUUUACCUUGAAAAAAUUAGAGUGCUCAAGGCAGGCCUUCGCUCGGAUACAUUAGCAUGGAAUAAUGGAAUAGGACGUCGGUCCCGUUUCGUUGGUUUCUGGGACCGCCGUAAUGAUUAAUAGGAACAAUCGGGGGCGUCAGUAUUCGGCCGUCAGAGGUGAAAUUCUUAGAUUGGCCGAAGACUAACUACUGCGAAAGCAUUCGCCAAGGGUGUUUUCAUUAAUCAGGAACGAAAGUUAGGGGAUCGAAGACGAUCAGAUACCGUCGUAGUCUUAACCAUAAACUUUGCCGACUAGGGAUCGGGCGGUGUUGAUAUUUGACCCGUUCGGCACCUUACGAGAAAUCAAAGUGCUUGGGCUCCAGGGGGAGUAUGGUCGCAAGGCUGAAACUUAAAGGAAUUGACGGAAG
rnacentral:rRNA from 1 species